UACGGAGGAUGCGAGCGUUAUCCGGAUUUAUUGGGUUUAAAGGGUGCGUAGGCGGGAUGCCAAGUCAGCGGUAAAAAUGCGGUGCUCAACGCCGUCGAGCCGUUGAAACUGACACCCUUGAGUGAGUGAGAAGUAAGCGGAAUGCGUGGUGUAGCGGUGAAAUGCAUAGAUAUCACGCAGAACGCCGAUUGCGAAGGCAGCUUACCGGCGCUCAACUGACGCUGAGGCACGAAAGUGCGGGUAUCGAACAGG
rnacentral:rRNA from 1 species